GACGGAGCGGGGGGGCUGGUUUUGGGGCGGCUCUCGGGUCGGAAACAUGGCGGCCGGAUGCGAACCCCCGCGGAGCGCAGCAAAGCGCUGACGGCGGGCUGCCGAACUGUUGUGUGGUUUCAACUCCCUUUUAUUCCUCGGCUCGGAGCGCCUCGCGGGAGAAUGUUGCGUCUUCGUGGAGGCCAACAGCUAAACGAAAAGACAGCCUUCUGGGCUGCCCACUGGCGAGGAUUUGGGCUCCUGAAGGUGUGGGCCAGCUCCCGUGGGCCACCUUGAGAAGGGCCCCAGUGCACAAAGAAGACGGCUUUGGAGCAAGAAUUUGGAAUAUGCAUUUAAGUUGUCGUGCUUUGCAUUGGAAACCCCUGGGCAAUUAAAAUAAGCCUGCCUUGUAGUGUUUUCUGUCCUUUUCUUAUGUGUGGUUCGUGCAAGUCAAAGGGGAUGGAGACCCUUCUACAGUUUGGAAACUUGUUUUGAAAUAGCCACCAAACAGAUUUUUACCCCUUUGGGUGAAGUUUGCUUCCAGGGUUCAGCCUCUUCACCCCACCCCCUGAC
ensembl:lncRNA